GCCUCCGUGGAGCAACAAAGCUCGCUCCCGCGUUUGAAGGAUGGAGAAAGGAAUCCGGGAGAGCCGGCGGUUCGAGCCCGCCCGGAGGCA